GUAUGAACGGCUAAAUGAGGACACCACUGUCUCCUUCGACCAAUCAAUGAACCUGAUCUUCUAGUACAAAAGCUAGAAUAUACCCAUAAGACGAGAAGACCCUGUGGAGCUUAAAACACUGCUCUCAGCCUGCACCCAACCCAACACAGGACCACACCACCAACAUGAGCGCAUAUUUUCAGUUGGGGCGACUGCGGAACCAAGCCCAACUUCCACGACACGGACCACUCCCUCCAUCAAAGGUUAACAAACCAACGCACAUCUUGAUCCAGUAAUACUGACCAACGAACCAAGUUACCCCAGGGAUAACAGCGCCAUCCUCUUCAAGAGCCCAUAUCGCCAAGAGGGUUUACGACCUCGAUGUUGGAUCAGGACCCCCAGGUGGUGCAACCGCUACCAAAGGUUCGUUUG
rnacentral:rRNA from 1 species